UAGUUGCCUGAAAACAAGCUCACAGUGGAUUUAAGCCACUUCCUGGGUAGUUUGAACUUGUUUGUUUUUCACAUGCAUCAGAUCUACAUGGACAUGUCUCAGCAGAUGGGUGGCAACCUUUGACCAUCUUACUUGUUUGAUAUUAUGGCCCUUUCCAUGGCAACAGAUUGUGAUGUCAUGCACAAACAGAUUAUGAGGUCAAAAAGUGCCCAGGAUGGAGCUAGAAGAAGAUGUAGGAAAGAUUCUGAAACUACGUAAAUAUAUUUCAAAGUACCAAAAACAUCAAACCACCAGGAAGGUGAUCAUCAUGAACUCAGAUUACAAAUGGAGAAAUCAAGGCACAGGCUGUUUUUUCUACUUUGCCCAGAAAAAUGCUUUCAACAAUUUGAAAAUAAUCUUCCAUGUGUAUAGCAAAUCAAGACUAUUCUACCCAUUUAUAGAAGGAGAUAUUAAUACUAUAAGUAUUGAAUUGCAUUAAGUAUAGUUUUGAGUGUGAAAAGACAACAAGCUAGCUUGUAAUCAAUGAUUCAAGUCUGAACAUAACUUGAGACAUCUGCUAGACUAUCGUUUUAUAGACCUGGAGGUUACGUGGUCUCUCAGACUUCACCUUGAUUUGUGUUUUCUCCUUGUUAACAGAGAUAAAACAGCUGGAAAAUAGGAAGCUGAAGCCCAUCCUAUGUUCAGUUUCUAUAUUUUUCUGUUUCAUACAUUCAUCUCUAAAUACUUAGGUCCUACCUACACAACGAUGCACAUAGAUGUUAAAAAAAAAAAAAAAAAAAAAAAAAAAAGCAUUCUCUGCUCUUUCUUUUCAUGGAUAGACUGUCCCAGUGGUUAAUAUGAUCAUGAUUUUGUCAAAUUUAUUUAACUAAACUGAGCACUGCUUAAGAAAAGGACCCUCAGACAUAAUAGCAGUAUUUGUAUAGGUUGUUAAUGUGCUUGAUUUUAAAAGAACUCUCUCAAAUUCAGCACAUAACAGUAAUAUUGGGAGAUAACUAUUCAACAAAGAACAACACAUUUCAUUCUGGAACUAAAUAUUGUAGGAUAUUGUGAGAUCCAGAAGUUAUAAAAAUAUUCAAAAGGAUGGUGCAAUCAUGAACUUUUUAAAAUAAAUCUAAUCACAAACUCCACUUGAAGAAGUAUUCAAAUUGCUGGUUGCAUGAACCUGGAAGGGUACAGUGGGAGAAGAAUCGUUCUAUAUUUACCUUUUUUCCUAUAUGUACUAUUGGCUCCCACUGGGCAGAGAAUACUUGGCUAGAUAGUCUGCCUAAGGAUGUAAACUCUUGUGUUGAUGCUGGCUUUAGUAACUGCUGAAAAAUCUGAAAUCAAAGGAUUAGAGCUAUGCUUGAUUGUACUUUCAUUAUAAAGCCCUUCCUUGUUAAAUAAAGAGAUCACCAAGUUCCAAUGGACUCAGAUUUAUACUGUAUCUAUAAACAUAACAUUGUUUACAUCUUUCAUUUAUGAUAUUUCAACUAAAGUUGUUAUAAAAUCGCUCUGCUUUAGCGCUAUGUCAUAAAAUGGAAGCAUAUAUUACAUUAAGUAGUAAGGAGCUGUAUCUCAUUUAAAACACAUAACCACAUAAUUUCAUUGAUAUAUAUCUAUAGAUAUAUAUCUAUGAACAAUGAAAUUGCCCCAAAAUUAAAACCCUCCUGGCAGUGUAUUUGUAAACACAAUCAGCCCGUAAUCCAAUAAAGAGACUCUGCUUUGAAUUAAUGUGAAUUGCUUCUCUAUUCUGCCUUUACAAAUAUAACUUUUCAUCUGAACUUCCUGGUUCCCUCUCUUUGUUUCACUAAAAAUAAUUGUAGUGAUUUUCUUCCUCACUUGUAAACAGCAGAGGAAAUAUUUGAAAAGC